UUCUCUCCUAUCUAGGCAGUAGGUUUUGUUCACAAAUUCAAAGAUCACUUUAUGCUCUGGCCUCAUCUCACUCUUUUGUACAGGCCUUGCUUCAGGCACCUCCCCAUCAUAUUAGGUGUCACAGAAGUUCCUAGUGAUUUGAAGAUCUGUAGGCAAUCCAUCCAGACAAUGCCAUCUUUGCCUUGUAUAAUCAUCAUAUCCCUCACUAGAAAUAUCCAGAAUCUUACCCAACUUAGAUGCAUCAAACUUCAUCUUCA
rnacentral:lncRNA from 1 species